GAUGAAGAACGCUGCGAAAUGCGAUAAGUAAUGUGAAUUGCAGAAUUCAGUGAAUCAUCGAAUCUUUGAACGCACAUUGCGCCCGCCAGUAUUCUGGCGGGCAUGCCUGUUCGAGCGUCAUUUCAACCAUCAAGCCCCCGGCUUGUGUUGGGGACCUGCGGCUGCCGCAGGCCCUGAAAAGCAGUGGCGGGCUCGCUGUCACACCGAGCGUAGUAGCAUACAUCUCGCUCUGGGCGUGCUGCGGGUUCCGGCCGUUAAACCACCUUCAUAACCCAAGGUUGACCUCGGAUCAGGUAGGAAGACCCGCUGAACUUAAGCAUAUCAAUAAGCGGAGGA
rnacentral:misc_RNA from 1 species